CUUUGGUAGAAGUGGCACCUUGCUGCAAAGAAGAAAGAGGAGGUGGCUGGCUGCUCGCAGGUGUCUGGUGAUGGCUGAGUAAGAGAUGCUCGGUGGAGACAGGGAACUUGCGGAGGCUCCAAGGACCUUCUCUACAGUUACCUCAGCAGUGUGUAUUCUGGUGGAAAGAAAGCAAAGACCUUGCAGAAUUCAACUGAAGUCUCCCUGAAACUCAAGGACUUGGCUUUGGAAGGAAAAACAACCAACUGGUACUUCUCUGGAUAGAAAGAUCUGGUUCUGAUGUCUAAAUGGAAGAUUUAAACAAUAAUAACAACAACAAAACAAAAGAACUCACUUUUUACUUUCAAGCACACCCUGUUCCUUCACAAGAAAAAAAGCCCACAGUGCAACAUUGAUCCAGAAAGUCUCUAUUCAGCACUCUUUGUUUGGUUUUGGCUCAGUGUUCGGCUAGCGGAUUCCCAGAGCACACAGCAGCAGGGGAGGUGGGGUUCACAGCAGAGAACAGUAAAAAAUCUACUCUAGAUUUCCUGAGGUUCCAGGAUGCAAUGGAAAACCGCAGUGUUUCUGGGUGAGUGGCAUGGAGCACAGCAGUGACUUUAUACUCUAUUUCACCCCCUUAAACUGGAGCUUGCCCGCAUCAGGGCUGGCGAGGCACUCCCACCCAUUCCUGCCUAUACACAUCCCCGCUCUGAAAGGGCUUCCUUGGGGGAAACUGGGCAUCUACCUUCACCAUCCCUUGAACAGGCUCUUGUAGGUGGCUUUUGCAUGCGUAAUUCCUACCUAAGGAGACACCUAAGCCACCCUUCUGGCUGCUUGGGGCAAAAACUUUGGAAUCAUCCUGGACUCCCCUUUUUCACGUCCCACUUCUAAUACACUAGCUUAGCCGGUCAGCUCCACAUUCAAACUGAUUCAGGAUGUAUCAGUCAGGGUUCAAUCAGAGAAACCAAACCAGUAGGAGAGUCCUAUUAAGAGAUCUACUGCAAGGAAUUGCCCUACAUAUGUUACCGGUUGGGAGUGUCCAGGUUCUUGGCAUCUUGAACAAAGAAUUGGACAAAACGCACAAACAAACCAAAGAAAGAAUGAAGCAACAAG